AUUGAACGCUGGCGGCAUGCUUUACACAUGCAAGUCGAACGGUAACAGGCCGCAAGGUGCUGACGAGUGGCGAACGGGUGAGUAAUGCAUCGGAACGUGCCCAGUCGUGGGGGAUAACGCAGCGAAAGUUGCGCUAAUACCGCAUACGAUCUAUGGAUGAAAGCGGGGGACCGUAAGGCCUCGUGCGAUUGGAGCGGCCGAUGUCAGAUUAGGUAGUUGGUGGGGUAAAGGCUCACCAAGCCGACGAUCUGUAGCUGGUCUGAGAGGACGACCAGCCACACUGGGACUGAGACACGGCCCAGACUCCUACGGGAGGCAGCAGUGGGGAACUUUGGACAAUGGGCGCAAGCCUGAUCCAGCAAUGCCGCGUGCAGGAAGAAGGCCUUCGGGUUGUAAACUGCUUUUGUACGGAACGAAACGGUCCUGGUUAAUACCCGGGGCUAAUGACGGUACCGUAAGAAUAAGCACCGGCUAACUACGUGCCAGCCGCCGCGGUAACAC
rnacentral:rRNA from 1 species